rnacentral:tRNA from 1 species
UAGGAUGUGGUGUAGUGGAAGCACAGAGGGUUUUGAGUCCUUUAGUGCAGGUUCGAGUCCUGUUGUCCUAG